rnacentral:rRNA from 1 species
UUCGCAAUGCCCGAAAGGGUGACGAAGCGACGCCGCGUGUGGGAAGAAGGCCUUCGGGUUGUAAACCACUGUCGGGAGUUAAGAAAUGUAAGGGUGUUAAUAGCAUCCUUACUUGACUAAGGCUCCGGAGGAAGCCACGGCUAACUCUGUGCCAGCAGCCGCGGUAAUACAGAGGCGGCAAGCGUUGUUCGGAAUUAUUGGGCGUAAAGAGCACGUAGGCGGCCGUGUAAGUCGGUUGUGAAAGCCUUCCGCUUAACGGAAGAACAGCAGCCGAUACUGCAUAGCUUGAGUGCGGAAGGGGAGAGUGGAACUUCUGGUGGAGCGGUGAAAUGCGUAGAUAUCAGAAGGAACGCCGGCGGCGAAAGCGGCUCUCUGGUCCGUAACUGACGCUGAGUGUGCGAAAGCUAGGGGAGCAAACGGGAUUAGAUACCCCGGUAGUCCUAGCCGUAAACGAUGGGCACUAA